AAAAGUUGUGGACUUCUCUCAAUGUUGUUUGCUCUACCACCACCCCCAAUCCACGAGUCCACCAACCAAUUCAGGAAUUCUCAGCAUACAUCUAUUUCCCCAAAUCGGCGGCUCAGACGACAAUGAAUUAAUGCAUCUUCCGCCGACAACUCGAUCGUAAUAAGCUCAGCGGUGGCACUGUCUAGGGAGCUUCAAUCGCGGCUUGGAUCGCGAAUUUGCCCCUUCUAAGGCUGACGAGAUCGACGAUUGGCGGGCGGGGAAGAAAUAAUCUUCCAAUAACGUCUCCGACAGGAAGGAGAGGGGAGAGAGAGGGGGUUUCUUCUCCGAUUUCCAAUCGCGAGCAGAUGGCGUCAGCAAUUGGUCGUUUCUCUCCCUUUCUUCAUUUGUAUAAUUAAUUAUUCAAAAUUUAUUUAAGGAUUUUCUAAUGUUUGGAAUUAACUUAGGUAUUGGAAAAUCACAUGUUAGAAAUUUAGUUAGUGUUAGUUUGGAUACUUGAAAUCGAGUUGGCUAUCUUAAAUUGUGUGUUUCAUAUUUUUAGAAUUUGGUUUUACGUCUGUCUGCUGAGCCACCUUCUUCCACCUUCUUCUGAACAACUUGAUCCCAUAAUGACUAAUUGCGCUUUCCCAUAUGAGAAUUUAUCAUAAUUGCCAUUUAAUCAAUCUGUGGCCAAGGCUUCAUACUUGUAUAUAUGUUUAUUUCACUUAAUUUAGGUAACAUGUAUUGCGUAUUUCUUCUCGGCCACCGGCUACUGUGAUCACCGUAUCCGAAGUGCUGGAGCUUGCUGAAACCAGAGCAUCGCUCUCCCUGUACGACGUCAUACUGCCGGAAACUCUCAAGUUCUCUGCUCUCCAGCGUCUCGGAUUUCCCAAUGCCACCGAAUUCCGUGCUAAGGAUCUCGAUUGCUCUAAUGCCCCGUCGACUUUUGUACAUUACAUCUCUGGCAUCGUCGAUGAACUGAAAGAAUGAUGCUGAUGGCACCAUGUUACAUGCUUUUGAAGACUGAAGUUGGUAUGUUCUAAAGAAAAUUUCAGACACCUUGUACUUUUACCUCUCGAGGGGUAUCUGAAAGAAAGAAUUUUAUGGAGGACAUAUCUCUAUAUAUUUCCCAUUCUAGGGCACAACAAUACUAUAAUUCAUAACAAGAAACAACUUUCAGACACCUUGUACUUGUAAAAUUGUCUCAAUGUGGCCCUCGCCGUUAGUUUUCA